rnacentral:tRNA from 1 species
GGGCGAAUAGCUCAGUGGUUAGAGCGCCUGCCUUACAAGCAGGAGGUCACAGGUUCAAGCCCUGUUUCGCCCACCA